UUUAUUUUAGCGGCGGACGGGUGAGUAACGUGUGGGCAACCUGCCUUUUACUGGGGAAUAAUCACUGGAAACGGUGACUAAUACCGCAUAAUAUUCUUGGAAGGGCAUCUUCCGAGAAGGAAAGGAAAUAUUCGGUAAAAGAUGGGCCCGCAUCUGAUUAGCUAGUUGGUGAGAUAACAGCCCACCAAGUCGACGAUCAGUAGCCGACCUGAGAGGGUGACCGGCCACAUUGGGACUGAGACACGGCCCAAACUCCUACGGAAGGCAGCAG
rnacentral:rRNA from 1 species